rnacentral:rRNA from 1 species
GACGAACGCUGGCGGCGUGCCUAAUACAUGCAAGUCGAGCGGAUGAUGGAGGAGCUUGCUCCUCCUGAUUCAGCGGCGGACGGGUGAGUAACACGUGGGCAACCUGCCCUGUAGAUUGGGAUAACUCCGGGAAACCGGGGCUAAUACCGAAUAAUCCACCGAACCCCAUGGUCUGGUGUUGAAAGACGGCAUCUAGCAGUCACUACAGGAUGGGCCCGCGGCGGAUUAGCUAGUUGGUGAGGUAACGGCUCACCAAGGCCACGAUGCGUAGCCGACCUGAGAGGGUGAUCGGCCACACUGGGACUGAGACACGGCCCAGACUCCUACGGGAGGCAGCAGUAGGGAAUCUUCCACAAUGGACGAAAGUCUGAUGGAGCGACGCCGCGUGAGUGAAGAAGGUUCUCGGAUCGUAAAACUCCGUUGUGAGGGAAGAACAAGUACCGGAGUAACUGCCGGUACCUUGACGGUACCUCAUUAGAAAGCCACGGCUAACUACGUGCCAGCAGCCGCAGUAA